GGGCCCGGAAGGUCUUUGAUGUAAUCCUCAGCGUUGGAGGUGGGGCCCGGAAGGUCUUUGAUGUAAUCCUCAGCGUUGGAGGUGGGGCCGGAAGGUGUUUGAUGUAAUCCUCAGCGUUGGAGGUGGGGCCGGAAGGUGUUUGAUGUAAUCCUCAGCGUUGGAGGUGGGGCCCGGAAGGUGUUUGAUGUAAUCCUCAGCGUUGGAGGUGGGGCCCGGAAGGUCUUUGAUGUAAUCCUCAGCGUUGGAGGUGGGGCCCGGAAGGUGUUUGAUGUAAUCCUCAGCGUUGGAGGUGGGGCCGGAAGGUGUUUGAUGUAAUCCUCAGCGUUGGAGGUGGGGCCCGGAAGGUGUUUGAUGUAAUCCUCAGCGUUGGAGGUGGGGCCCGGAAGGUGUUUGAUGUAAUCCUCAGCGUUGGAGGUGGGGCCGGAAGGUGUUUGAUGUAAUCCUCAGUGUUGGAGGUGGGGCCGGAAGGUGUUUGAUGUAAUCCUCAGCGUUGGAGGUGGGGCCCGGAAGGUCUUUGAUGUAAUCCUCAGCGUUGGAGGUGGGGCCUGGAAGGUGUUUGGCUCCUGGCUGGGUGUUGUCUUUGUAAUGCUGGAAAAAUGACAUCUGCCAACUUUACACAGCAUUCGCUUGUUUUUGACCCACAGAAUAUAGCACAUUCAUUGUGCAAACUGUCGAUUCAACAAAACUAAAAAAAAAAAAAAGCAAGAAACUACUGAGGAGUUUAGCAACUGCUGUUUCUGUAAAGAAAUAGUCCUAAAGUGUCAGUUUCUUCAAGUCACGGAAAGAAAGAGCACAAUGAAGGACAAAGAUCGACCAGAGUGAAUUGCAUUUGCCUUGGUUGAAAGCAUCUGAAUCUGAAAAAAAUUAUGAACUCUACUAAAAUUUUGGCAAAUUUUGGUCAGUUUCAAUAGGCCUGCUUUCCUCAUUUAUUGAUUAAUUACUUCAUUUACCACAUAAAAGAUUGUUAAUUGUCAUCUCUGUAAUCUGCCUGCAGAUUAAAAAUUCUAUGUCUUAGA